UACGAAGGGGGCUAGCGUUGCUCGGAAUGACUGGGCGUAAAGGGCGCGUAGGCGGACAUCUUUGUCGGGCGUGAAAUUCCAGGGCUUAACCUUGGGGCUGCGUUCGAGACGGGGUGUCUUGAGUGGGGAAGAGGGUCGUGGAAUUCCCAGUCGUAGAGGUGAAAUUCGUAGAUAUUGGGAAGAACACCGGUGGCGAAGGCGGCGCCUGGU
rnacentral:rRNA from 1 species